rnacentral:lncRNA from 13 species
GUCCAGACCACUCAACUCCAAAGUCCACGUUCUUAACCACUGUGAUAUAUGACUAUCUGGCAAGAAUUGUGUCUGUAAAGGGAACUAUGCCAUUUAAAAGUCAGUAUGUUCUUGGUAAUUUUUAGUAACCAGUAUUAGUGUUAAUUGCAUUCCAUUGUAACUGAGUUCCAGUGGGUACUGCCUCAAUUUUGAAGAGUCUAAAAGAAGGACAUAGACCCAUGAAUAGGGAAAUAGAACAGUUCCUUUCAGUGGUCGCCAUUUUGACUCCUUAGUCCCAUUUUAAGAUAAAUGAAGCGCUUCAAGAUUCUCAAAGCAGGAUAUGCAGCAAUAUUUGUCCUGGUGUUUUCAGUGGAAGAAGUAUGUUCUGCUCCUUAAAGAGACACCUGCAUAUUCAGUUUCAGGGCAAGUUACUGUUUUCAGAAUCCAAGUGAAAUCUAACACUAUAAAACAAUGCCAAGAGCAAACGAAGGAAAGCAAAGAUCUGAAGGGGCACCCUGCCCAUCGUUUUGAUUCUUCAAGUUUCUGAAAACGUAUGAGAAGCACUGUGUGCAGUCUCAGCCAUCCAUGUGUCCAGCUGUCAAAAGGGACCUGAAAAGCAGCAUUGACAGUGACCAGGUGCUCAGGAAGUUUAUGCUUGUAAGACCUGAUGACUCCCCACCAAGAAUCCCACCAGUUUCCCUGGAACCUUUGCUCACAAUUCAAGAUGAGUGUUACACACUGGAGAAAGAGAUCUGCAUCUGUGGCCUUCAACUGAGCGACUCAGAGAUUGCCAGACUUGAAGUGACCUGGCUAUGGGCCCUCUGCACAGGAAACUGUGGGAACUUGGGCUGGGCUCAUGUGUUGACUCCAAUCCAGAUGCUUCCAUCUGAGGAGCUCCUAGUUGCUGAAUCUGCACAGUCCAGUUCUCAGUGGACCUCCAACUCCUAAUCAUAUUUAGGGCUAUGGCCGGGCGAGGUGUAAGUGCUCCAAGGUAAGUGCUGGGGAACUUGGCUCUACAAUCCUGUUGGGGCCACCUAAAAGGAAGACAUUUUGCUCUCUGGUUAAAAGUGACCUUCUCAGUGGUCAAGUCUGAUUCUUCUUCUUGAAUAUGUGUGGGACACAAAAUAAUGUCUCCCAAAGAUUUUUGCCCUAAUCUUCAGAACCUGUGAAUAUAUCACCUCACAUGGCAAAAGCGACUCUGACCAUAAGUUAAGGAUGAAAUACGAAGAUCAUCUUGGAUCAUCCUCAUGGGUCCUGCAUAAUCACGGGGAUCUUUCUAGGAGGGAGGCAGGAGAGUCCGAGGAGAUGGAAGCAGAGGUUGGAGUGACGUGAGGAAGGGGCCAGGAGCCAGGGAACAUAGGCAGCCACUACAAGGUGGAAAAGGCAAGCAAAGUAAUUUUCCUCGGGACCUUUAAAGGAAUACAGCUCUGUUGACACCUUGACUUUCACCUUUAAGACCUAUUUCAGAGUUCAGACCUCCAGCACUAUAAGAUCUGAAACUUGUAUUGUUUUAAGGCACUAAGUGUGUGGUCAUUUGCAGCAGCUGCAAGAGAAAGCUACUAGUGUGUUAAUCAGAUUUUUUAGGUUAAAAGUGAAAGCAACCCAAACAGAAUUAAAGACGAGCAUGGGUUUAUUGGCUCACAUAACUGGGACAUCCAUGGGUACAGCUGUCUUCAGAGAUGACCGAAUUCAGGGGCUCAAACCACCUCACUAGGAGACUCAGAAUUUGCUGCUCUUGACUCUACUUCCCUUCCAAGGGUUGGCCUUCCUUCCUCCGGCUGCAGCCAGGCUUUCUCCAAGCAGGAAAAGACAGCUGAUGUGCCUGCCAACAGUCCCAGGGCUGUAUCAUCAUGACUAUCAUCAACCAGAAAGUAAAGUCUUCUUUCUUCCAAUGACUGUGUGUCAUAUCCCAUAGGGAGAUUCUGAUUGGCCCUCCUUGGGUCACAUA